rnacentral:rRNA from 1 species
AACGAACGCUGGCGGCAUGCCUAACACAUGCAAGUCGAACGAGACCUUCGGGUCUAGUGGCGCACGGGUGCGUAACGCGUGGGAAUCUGCCCUUGGGUUCGGAAUAACUCAGAGAAAUUUGAGCUAAUACCGGAUGAUGACGAAAGUCCAAAGAUUUAUCGCCCAAGGAUGAGCCCGCGUAAGAUUAGCUUGUUGGUGGGGUAAUGGCCUACCAAGGCGACGAUCUUUAGCUGGUCUGAGAGGAUGAUCAGCCACACUGGGACUGAGACACGGCCCAGACUCCUACGGGAGGCAGCAGUGGGGAAUAUUGGACAAUGGGCGAAAGCCUGAUCCAGCAAUGCCGCGUGAGUGAUGAAGGCCUUAGGGUUGUAAAGCUCUUUUACCAGGGAUGAUAAUGACAGUACCUGGAGAAUAAGCUCCGGCUAACUCCGUGCCAGCCGCCGCAGUAA